rnacentral:rRNA from 1 species
GAUGAACGCUGGCGGCGUGCUUAACACAUGCAAGUCGAACGGUGAAGCCAAGCUUGCUUGGUGGAUCAGUGGCGAACGGGUGAGUAACACGUGAGCAACCUGCCCUGGACUCUGGGAUAAGCGCUGGAAACGGCGUCUAAUACUGGAUAUGAGCCUCUUCCGCAUGGUGGGGGUUGGAAAGAUUUUUUGGUCUGGGAUGGGCUCGCGGCCUAUCAGCUUGUUGGUGAGGUAAUGGCUCACCAAGGCGUCGACGGGUAGCCGGCCUGAGAGGGUGACCGGCCACACUGGGACUGAGACACGACCCAGACUCCUACGGGAGGCAGCAGUGGGGAAUAUUGCACAAUGGGCGAAAGCCUGAUGCAGCAACGCCGCGUGAGGGAUGACGGCCUUCGGGUUGUAAACCUCUUUUAGCAGGGAAGAAGCGAAAGUGACGGUACCUGCAGAAAAAGCGCCGGCUAACUACGUG